AAAAAUGUCCUUGAACUUGAUUAAACAAAAAAGAUUUAUCUGUUCAUAUAUGGAAAAUGUGAGGAACCAACUAUUCCCAGAUACUUCGAAUGUAUGGAUAGUGUUCGAUCAUAAAGGGGUAAUCCUAAAGGGAAUCAAUACAUUUAUGGAUGACGGUACAAUCAAGGUGUUAUCAUGGAUUGGUAUAUCAUCUAUGGCAACGUACAGAUACUAUUUCAUGAAGGAAAGAAGUGAUAAAACCACGGUAACUAAAAUCAUAACAGAAGACAAAGAAACAUUAACCGAAACGAUAACAAACGACAAAGAAACGUUAACCGAAUGGAUAACAAAUAACAAGGAAACAUUAACUGAAUGGGAAGGACAAACGGACUUUAACAAAUACAUGAGAGCAUUGUUUGAACCAGGUCAACCAUCUGCUUUUGAUGUAACUAAAGAGACGAUUGAACUACGAUGGGAUGUACCCAAUGUUGGAGUACACUUUGUACAACAUUACAAAGUUCACUGCAUGAACACUCACACCAGUUCUACUAUCUACUAUACCACAGAGGGAAACUAUUGCAAUUAUACCGUUAAUAACUUACAGCCUGACACCGAGUAUGAAUUUACAAUUCAGACAAUCAAAAAUAAUGGAAGUGAAGGACCUUGCAGUUUAGCUUGUAAAAAGUCAACCCUUGCUAAUUUGAGAUACUAUUAGGGUACUAUGACAAAAUUCAAUGUUUGGGAACUUUAAUUCUCGAGCAUGUCAUGCUCUAUUAUUUUUAAUCUCUUGUAAAUUGUUACAUACUAAAUUUCAAAUGACAAACUGUAUUUUACUGUGAUAUUCUCAAAUAUUUUCAUCAAACGGAUAAGCUAUCAAAGUAAUUGAACAACCUGAUUUCCAACAUUUGAUCAUAUACAGCAUAUUUGUCCGUAUUAAUGAUUAAAAAGAAAAAAAUAUAUCCAUGCAAUUUUCCCCUCUCAAAACACCAAGCACACUAUUUGCAAUCAUACUACGUCUUCUUUUUUUAUAUUUACUUCAUAAACAGCUAUAUGAAGAUAUGUUUAAACUGAUAUAUAAUCAAAUGAAAAGGAUUCGUCAUAAAAGUUCUCAACGUGGUCUUCACCUUUGAUUUCAUUAUAUAACUGACAUGUAUAAAUGCAUUUUCUUUCAUCAGAUUCUUCUACAUGUCUUUUUUUAUAUGUUUGAUGGUUUCUUUUUCCCUUUUCCUUGAGUGUUUCGUGGACUACUGUUGUCUGUUCGAUAUUAUCACCUUUCGUCAUGAUAAGGCAUGUCCUUUGCCAUGUUUAUUUUGAUAGACCGUUCGAAUUUGUUUGCGAAAGUAAAUCAUAAAUCGACGUGUCUAUGUUUUAUCUGUCAGUAUUAUAGCUUGCUUAUACUUAUGCGUAUAAGAUAGUUCAUUAUGUCCUAUAAUAUGAUACAGUAGAACCUAUAUAAACUGGCCGGCUAUGGGACUAUGAAAAAGGGCCGUUUCAGACAGUGUGUCGGUUUAUUCAGGUUUCCGCGUUGACAGGAAGUUAUUGACUUGUGACGUCAGAUAAUUUGCAUGUAAAAGUUCUGUCUCAUUGUAAAUUGUAAACUAAUAAAUACAAAUGCAGUAAUAAUCUAUUUACUAAAUUAGUUAUAUCAUGGUUUGUUAGGAAAUAUUGUGACAUGAACAUUACAAGUGUUCCCUGCCUUUUCAUCAUUUAACUACGUACGAUCUUUGUUUUGAGUCUUCGUAUUCAUUGGCUUUAAAAAUUUCAGAAAUUGGUUGUCCUCGUAUGUCAAAUCGACCUCGGAAGCAUCAGUCACCGACUCGUCAGUUUCAUUUUCACUUUGAGUUCAGUGUUUUCAUUUGCAUCAGAAUCCUCGCGUUGUUUAAAUUGUUCAACGAGAGUUUCGUUUUACUUCCAUCGUUCAUUUCCUACGUUGAGGGGCGUAAAGAGGGGAGGGUAUCUGCGAGGAAGAACGUGAUAUACAAUUGCCAUUUCACGAUAAACGAACAAUUAAAAAUUGCUUGCACGUUGAUUUUUUUACCGAUUUCACGAAACACGGUGAAUAAUGAACCUUUUUUACGGCUGCACGUGAAAUAAAAAUGGCAAAACACGUUGCACGAAAAUAACCCUUUACCACCCUCUACGUUGGUAUACCGAUUAAAAAAAUGAAUUUUAUCAAAGGAAUUUUCAAAGAUAGAAACGUUUACUGAAUUAGUUAGAAAAGACAAAGAAAAAGUAACAGGAUGAGUAAGAGAAGAAAACAAUAAAUGUUAUCCUAAUAGACAGGAAAAGACAAAAAAAAACCAAUACAUUUGCAAAUCAACAGACUAUCAAAUGAGAAGGACCUUAACCAAAUCGAAAGAAAAUGAUUACAUUUUUAUUUCGUAAAAGAAGGUAAUUUUUCUAAUCUUUAGUUACAAAAAUUUAAUUUCAAAUACGUCUGUCCCGUCAAAAUUGAUCGUAAGUGCUAAAUUAAACUGUUAGUUUAUAUCAUAAUUUUGUUUGUAAUGUUGUGAUUUCAUUAAAUAAAACAAUCUUUUUUUUUUAA